rnacentral:rRNA from 1 species
GUAGUCAUAUGCUUGUCUAUAAAUUAAGCCAUGCAUGUCUAAGUAUAAAUAAAUUUAUAUUGUGAAACUGCGAAUGGCUCAUUAAAUCAGUUAUGAUCUACGUGACAUAUUCUUUACUACUUGGAUAACCGUGGUAAUUCUAGAGCUAAUACAUGCAAAAAAACCCAAACUUACGAAUGGGUGCACUUAUUAGAUAAAGCCAACGCUGGGUAAAACCAGUUUCCCUUGGUGAUUCAUAAUAAUUUAGCGGAUCGCAUGGCCUUGUGCUAGCGACAGUCCACUCGAUUUUCUGCCCUAUCAUGGUUGAGAUUGUAAGAUAGAGGCUUACAAUGCCUACAACGGGUAACGGGGAAUA